rnacentral:rRNA from 1 species
GUCGAACGGCAGCACGGGUGCUUGCACCUGGUGGCGAGUGGCGAACGGGUGAGUAAUACAUCGGAACAUGUCCUGUAGUGGGGGAUAGCCCGGCGAAAGCCGGAUUAAUACCGCAUACGAUCUAUGGAUGAAAGCGGGGGACCUUCGGGCCUCGCGCUAUAGGGUUGGCCGAUGGCUGAUUAGCUAGUUGGUGGGGUAAAGGCCUACCAAGGCGACGAUCAGUAGCUGGUCUGAGAGGACGACCAGCCACACUGGGACUGAGACACGGCCCAGACUCCUACGGGAGGCAGCAGUGGGGAAUUUUGGACAAUGGGCGAAAGCCUGAUCCAGCAAUGCCGCGUGUGUGAAGAAGGCCUUCGGGUUGUAAAGCACUUUUGUCCGGAAAGAAAUCCUUGGUUCUAAUAUAGCCGGGGGAUGACGGUACCGGAAGAAUAAGCACCGGCUAACUACGUGCCAGCAGCCGCGGUAAUACGUAGGGUGCGAGCGUUAAUCGGAAUUACUGGGCGUAAAGCGUGCGCAGGCGGUUUGCUAAGACCGAUGUGAAAUCCCCGGGCUCAACCUGGGAACUGCAUUGGUGACUGGCAGGCUAGAGUAUGGCAGAGGGGGGUAGAAUUCCACGUGUAGCAGUGAAAUGCGUAGAGAUGUGGAGGAAUACCGAUGGCGAAGGCAGCCCCCUGGGCCAAUACUGACGCUCAUGCAC